UACAGAGGGUGCGAGCGUUGUCCGGAAUCACUGGGCGUAAAGGGCGCGUAGGCGGCAGAUCAAGUCAGCUGUGAAAUCUCCGGGCUUAACUCGGAACGGCCAAGUGAAACUGCCACGCUAGAGUGCAGAAGGGGCAAUCGGAAUUCUUGGUGUAGCGGUGAAAUGCGUAGAUAUCAAGAGGAACACCUGAGGUGAAGACGGGUUGCUGGGCUGACACUGACGCUGAGGCGCGAAAGCCAGGGGAGCAAACGGG
rnacentral:rRNA from 1 species